CAUGCUAAAGCACAUUUUUUAAUGGGCUCCCCAACGACAAGGCGACGACGCAUUCGUAUGUCAAUCCAAAUGAACUUUCGAUGCCAUUUACUGUGCCUACCCUGGUGACCACUGGAAACGCUGAAUCAGGGUUCGAUUCCGGAGAGUGAGCCUGAGAAACGGCUACCACAUGCAAGGAAGGCAG